ensembl:lncRNA
GUAUAGAAGGGAGUGACCGAACGACAGAUCCAGCAUACAGACUGCGAAACACAUACGAUGGGCAACCAUCAGUGUGGCAGCACAAAACAGCCAAGCAAGGAGAGGAGGCAGGAGCCCACAGCACUGCUCUCCUUCAAAUUCACUGCUGAUGGGUCUUACAAGAUUUUCUUUAAUGAAGGUGGCCCUCGUGCAGAUACCACCAGCUUCCAAACCAGCUCUCAAAUCCUUCACUGCCAAUGGAGAAGAGUCAGACAAACAACAAAGCGUAACGAACAGUUCUUUAGCUUCUAGGAUCAGGCCUAGAUAGGCCACCCUAUAAGGAAUUGCUGCUUUCAGUGCUUGGUCAAAUUGCUCCCUCCUGGC